rfam:Jatropha curcas cultivar GZQX0401 scaffold906_27, whole genome shotgun sequence.
UAGCAUAUGAUGAUGUACUCGGAUUCCCCUUCUAGACAAUAUGGAUGAUGCUAUCUCGAGUUUCUGAUGCU